rnacentral:rRNA from 1 species
UCGAGCGAAUGGGAUUAGAAGAGCUUGCUCUUAUGAAGUUAGCGGCGGACGGGUGAGUAACACGUGGGUAACCUGCCCAUAAGACUGGGAUAACUCCGGGAAACCGGGGCUAAUACCGGAUAACAUUUUGAACCGCAUGGUUCGAAAUUGAAAGGCGGCUUCGGCUGUCACUUAUGGAUGGACCCGCGUCGCAUUAGCUAGUUGGUGAGGUAACGGCUCACCAAGGCAACGAUGCGUAGCCGACCUGAGAGGGUGAUCGGCCACACUGGGACUGAGACACGGCCCAGACUCCUACGGGAGGCAGCAGUAGGGAAUCUUCCGCAAUGGACGAAAGUCUGACGGAGCAACGCCGCGUGAGUGAUGAAGGCUUUCGGGUCGUAAAACUCUGUUGUUAGGGAAGAACAAGUGCUAGUUGAAUAAGCUGGCACCUUGACGGUACCUAACCAGAAAGCCA